CGCACAGUCUCCAGCCUUCUCUCAACCUCAAAGGAGUGAGUAUAUGCGACGCAAUCCACAGACUGGAAUGAAGCAACAGUGACAACAUUAGCGGCCAAUGAUGGAUGAAAUGACAAAUGAACCAGGAGUAGGGGCAGACAUCUACGCCCUAAGGGAGAGAGUGAGGUGGGGCUGGAAACUAUUUUCUGGCCUUCUCCCGCGUACUGCUCCCAGAGAAGGGACAGGAUCCAGCACGCCCGGGAUCAGCGGAGCCUCGGCCUCCGAGGUGCAGGAGUGGGACGAGAGCGAAACCCUCAGAAGACUUUUCAAAACCUUCUUCAGAAAGCUGUAAACUAACACCUGUCUAUGAAGUUAAGCGGAGUUAAUCAGUCUAAGAGGUGAUGAAAUCAGUGCCCAAUGUGAAGUCAGGAUCAGAGGGCAAAGAAGAGAACCCAGACAGCCAGACCUUUGCAGUAUGAAUUCAAGAUUUAUUCAAUAGAUCAUGAAUUGCUGGGUCCUCAGUCACUCCCAAUUUAAAACCCCCUGGAAGACUUGAGUGGCAGUUCCCUUUUAAGAACUAGUAGGCAUACUACAUGUCACAGGACCCCGUCUGUCCUAGGCAUUCCUCCUGGAGAUCUGGAAUUGAGACACUGAAAGGCAGAAACAGACGAUGAGUGGCUACACUGAAGGUCACGCAGAGCGAGAUCCAGAGUUGGCACUGUGACAAGACAAAGGCACCUGCAGACUGAACUAUGGGGGAACACAGAUGCCCUGAAUAAGCCCUGAAAGCCAGCCUGCAGAGAGGGAGCAGGGGCAGAGGCAGAUGCCAGAGGGGAGCAGAGCUGAGACUGGGGGGCCUGCUGAGGAAUGGAAGGGGUAACCUCAUUAUCAAACCUCCCAUUUAUUUCUCUCCCUGUGUGAUCUGACUAUAUUUUAUUUCUGACCUUUAGAACAUAUAUGAAAUCGUCUGUUUUAUUUUUUAAAUAAAAACCACUUUUACCUGGA